UUCAAUUGAAGUUCUCAACUAGAAAAGGAGAAAACACAAACCCUUACAUACCCAUUGAAUAUUAAUACGCUUAUCAAUGUGACUACAAAUAAAUCAAAACAAAUGAUUAAUAUCGUAAAAAUUUACAGAGAGGUUUUCACAGGUGAGAACAGAUAGGGAAAAAUGGCGAGCAAACAGGUCCCAGCCACAAGACAGAACAAUAACUGCAGGGCGACUUACCGGAGGUGGAAAUGAGAAGACAUAGGCGGGGCGAGAGUAAAAAUGAACAGCAGUCUGCAACCAGCAAUUGAACGAUGUGAGAGAGAAUAAAGCAGCGCGAUCAUGGAUUGAACCAGUCUCUGAUCGACUGGAUCACUGAUUAAAUAGGAAAAGGGAAAGGCUAUCAGAGGAGGAAAGAAGGGUUUGGCAGAAAAAAAGCUAAAGGG
rnacentral:lncRNA from 1 species